UGGGGAAUUUUGGACAAUGGGCGCAAGCCUGAUCCAGCCAUGCCGCGUGUAGAAUGAAGGCCUUCGGGUUGUAAAGUACUUUUGUCAGGGAGGAAAUGGCUCUGGCUAAUACCGGGGGGGGAUGACGGUACCCUAAGAAUAAGCACCGGCUAACUACGUGCCAGCAGCCGCGGUAAUACGUAGGGUGCGAGCGUUAAUCGGAAUUACUGGGCGUAAAGCGUGCGCAGGCGGUUUUAUAAGCCAGAUGUGAAAUCCCCGGGCUCAACUUGGGAACUGCGUUUGCAACUGUAAGGCUAGAGUGCGGCAGAGGGGGAUGGAAUUCCGCGUGUAGCAGUGAAAUGCGUAGAUAUGCGGAGGAACACCGAUGGCGAAGGCAAUCCCCUGGGCCUGCACUGACGCUCAUGCACGAAAGCGUGGGGAGCAAACAGGAUUAGAUACCCUGGUAGUCCACGCCCUAAACGAUGUCAACUGGUUGUUGGGUCUUAAAUGACUCGGUAACGAAGCUAACGCGUGAAGUUGACCGCCUGGGGAGUACGGCCGCAAGGUUG
rnacentral:rRNA from 1 species